rnacentral:lncRNA from 1 species
CUAGAUCGCAGAAAGCAAGUUUGUUUAAAUCAGAGCUGGGGAAUGGUUUCAGAAAAUUUACCAUCUUGAUUAUAAAUGAAUUCCGAGUGUCUGUGUCCAUGGUGCUCAGCACACGAAACAGGAGCAACUGAGAGACCCAGUGGACUCAGCCAUUUAUCUCUCUUAAGGCCUCUGCUCCAUCCUCACUUGGCAUCUCAUGCAUAAGUCAAGAGUAAAGAAUAGGAAUGGACACCUCCUCAUACCCAACCAAAGCUGUUGGUACCCAGAGUGACGGAGCAGAGAUGACAUGAAACUGAGGUGCAAGAGCAUAUGAAACCCCGGCCAAGAGGAGUCCUCUCCAGCUCUUUGACAGAAGGGCCACUUUGUCUAGAAUCAGGCCUGUGAGAGGAAUUUUCCGUGAUGAGAACUAUUUGAAUCCCAGGCCUUUCUUAUAGGCAUGUCUGUGUUUUAGAGCCAGAUUUGUCUCCUGGGAAGGGAAGCGGCCAGUGCUAGCCCCCAGGUGUUCUCUAAUCUGACUUUACAGACACUGCAGAGAGAACCACGGACUACUAGUCUUGCCACGUUCCCCUAUAGGCACUUGACUGUGUUGAGUCUUUGUACUUCUGGCCAACUUUGAGCCACCUUGGGAGUCUUGUAAGAGAAGAAAUUUUACACAAAGUCAGCAGACCAACCCUGAAAUAACUUAAAGGCAAUAAUUAAAGGAGUACAGACUCCUCCUGAGGCUGCAGGCUGAGUACACCCCACCUUCUUGCAACACAGAUGACCUAUCUACUGAGUAGCCCCAAAUCUGAGCAGUAAAUGGGAAGGGAUGUGCUUCAGACUCUCCAGCAGUAGGAAUACAUGGGUAUCUGAGAGAAAUCUAAGUCAACAGUUCCUUAUCUGGGGACUUGGACCCCUAAGAACUCACCGAAUGGGUUCCAUGGAAUUUAUGCAGUAUUUUGAGUUUAAAUGUGUUUUCCUGGGGGAAAACUCCCAAAAGAGUAUGUGUCUUUUAAAAAGGUAAUACUCACUUUAUGGAUGGCUCUAGAAGGUCCCCCCAGUGUCACUGCCAUCCACACUCAUUCCUGCCAGGGCCUGGCUUCAGGGGGGUAAUGGGUCACAGCUGUCUGUGACCUUGUGCCAUUUUGAGACACCAAUGAUGGAAAAAUGUAUUGAGCCCUUAAUGAGCUUCAGUCCCCAGAGUGUCUUUCCCUGUUUUUAGUAAGUUCCUAUGUAUGGAAUGAUAAACUGUGCCCUAGAACAGAGAAACUUGCUUGAAAAAGAUUCUGGCCCAGUGGAAAAUUCUGGAUAUGUUCAUUAUCCAUAAACAAUAGUAUGAUUUUACUGAUUUUUUAGAGUGUUCAUUGACUAUAUGCAUAAGAACUAAUGAAUUGUUAAUGUAUUCUUUAUUGAUGCUUAAUGGAACUUAAUUAUGAUGCAUUCAUGUUACUAACACAUCAUUUCUGAGUACAAAAAAGCAGCAGCAUGUUUUCAUUGCUGGUACUGGUGAAGAUUUAUGUAUUAUUCCAUAGACUAGUCACCACUUAAUAGAACUAUCCAAUUUCAGAGUUGACACUGCUCCAACGUGAGCAGCUGGGAUGUCUCCACAGGCCAAGAGCCCUACUCAGUUGCCAGACGGCUCCUUACCUUGAUGUUUUUCUUGCUGGUAGACCAGAGGCUGCUGGCUAAUCAGAAAGAAGGCCGAUGCCAGCAAUACCUACUUACUGUUGUUAUUCCAAAAAGAAAUUUGUGGCUCUUAAAAUUUAGGCACAUGAGGCAGAAAUAAUUUUGGGGAGAAACCCAAAGGGAAGGUUUGGAAAGAACAGAUGACAUCAGGGUUGAGUCACAAACGAAUGACUCAUGAAGUCAGGCCUGUCACCUUCGCCAGGAGGGACUGGCCCGUCUUCUUCACCAAAACCUUCAAGCUAUUGUAGAUUUCAGGGACUCUUCAGGUUUCUCUUGAUCCUGAACAC